AGAACAUUUUGUGGGGGAGGUAGUCCCGCUAGGAACUGGGAGAUGUUGAGUUCUAGUCACCUUAGGCAUAAAGCCAGCUGGGUGACCUUGGGCCAGCCACUUUCUCUCAGCCCUACGAAGGAGGCAAUGACAA